rnacentral:rRNA from 1 species
GAUUCGUCACACUAUCAUUAACUGAAUCCAUAGGUUAAUGAGGCGAACCGGGGGAACUGAAACAUCUAAGUACCCCGAGGAAAAGAAAUCAACCGAGAUUCCCCCAGUAGCGGCGAGCGAACGGGGAGGAGCCCAGAGCCUGAAUCAGCAUGUGUGUUAGUGGAAGCGUCUGGAAAGGCGCGCGAUACAGGGUGACAGCCCCGUACACAAAAGCGCAUGUGCUGUGAGCUCGAUGAGUAGGGCGGGACACGUGGUAUCCUGUCUGAAUAUGGGGGGACCAUCCUCCAAGGCUAAAUACUCCUGACUGACCGAUAGUGAACCAGUACCGUGAGGGAAAGGCGAAAAGAACCCCGGCGAGGGGAGUGAAAAAGAACCUGAAACCGUGUACGUACAAGCAGUGGGAGCCCCACCACCAAAGCAUUCUCUGGUGUUGAAGGCCCUGCAAAGCAGCAUCGCGGUGGCGGAGCGUCGUUUGCGACGCCCAACACACAAAACAAGCGGUGAAUGCUUUGGGGUGGGGUGACUGCGUACCUUUUGUAUAAUGGGUCAGCGACUUAUAUUCUGUAGCAAGGUUAACCGUAUAGGGGAGCCGGAGGGAAACCGAGUCUUAAUUGGGCGUUAAGUUGCAGGGUAUAGACCCGAAACCCGGUGAUCUAGCCAUGGGCAGGUUGAAGGUUGGGUAACACUAACUGGAGGACCGAACCGACUAAUGUUGAAAAAUUAGCGGAUGACCUGUGGCUGGGGGUGAAAGGCCAAUCAAACCGGGAGAUAGCUGGUUCUCCCCGAAAGCUAUUUAGGUAGCGCCUCGUGAAUUCAUCUCCGGGGGUAGAGCACUGUUUCGGCUAGGGGGCCAUCCCGGCUUACCAACCCGAUGCAAACUGCGAAUACCGGAGAAUGUUAUCACGGGAGACACACGGCGGGUGCUAACGUCCGUCGUGAAGAGGGAAACAACCCAGACCGCCAGCUAAGGUCCCAAAGUCAUGGUUAAGUGGGAAACGAUGUGGGAAGGCCCAGACAGCCAGGAUGUUGGCUUAGAAGCAGCCAUCAUUUAAAGAAAGCGUAAUAGCUCACUGGUCGAGUCGGCCUGCGCGGAAGAUGUAACGGGGCUAAACCAUGCACCGAAGCUGCGGCAGCGAACGUAUCACCCAAGACAACUUUACGGAGUUGACGAUUGACGGAGCGAAGCGACGUCAAAGCGUUCAUUAAAGUCGAGUUGGCUUAGGGAUACGUUCGUUGGGUAGGGGAGCGUUCUGUAAGCCUGUGAAGGUGUGUCGUGAGGCAUGCUGGAGGUAUCAGAAGUGCGAAUGCUGACAUAAGUAACGAUAAAGCGGGUGAAAAGCCCGCUCGCCGGAAGACCAAGGGUUCCUGUCCAACGUUAAUCGGGGCAGGGUGAGUCGACCCCUAAGGCGAGGCCGAAAGGCGUAGUCGAUGGGAAACGGGUUAAUAUUCCCGUACUUGGUGUUACUGCGAAGGGGGGACGGAGAAGGCUAUGUUGGCCGGGCGACGGUUGUCCCGGUUUAAGCGUGUAGGUGUGUGUUCCAGGUAAAUCCGGUUCACUUUAACACUGAGGCGUGACGACGAGGCACUACGGUGCUGAAGCAACAAAUGCCCUGCUUCCAGGAAAAGCCUCUAAGCAUCAGGUAACAC